GAAAUGCGAUAAGUAAUGUGAAUUGCAGAAUUCAGUGAAUCAUCGAAUCUUUGAACGCACAUUGCGCCCGCCAGUAUUCUGGCGGGCAUGCCUGUUCGAGCGUCAUUUCAACCCUCAAGCCCGGCUUGGUGUUGGGGCCCUACGGCUGCCGUAGGCCCUGAAAGGAAGUGGCGGGCUCGCUGCAACUCCGAGCGUAGUAACUCACAUUCUCGCUAGGGAGGCGCGGCGCGCUCCGGCCGUUAAAGAACCAUCUUUAACCAAGGUUGACCUCGGAUCAGGUAGGAAUACCCGCUGAACUUAA
rnacentral:misc_RNA from 1 species